AAUGAGUCGUCUCGUAGGAGGCAAUUUCAGCCAUACAGUUUAGCAAAAUUUUCCAGCAAGUUGAUCCUUAAUAAUUCCGAUCAGAUUUCCGACAACUUUAAUUCAUAGUACUUAACAUGGCUGCUUUAUUGUACAAGCACGAUGUAUUCUUGAGUUUCAGAGGAGAAGACACUCGCAAAAACUUUGUAAGUCAUUUAUACGAAGCGUUAGUUGAAAGUCGUAUCAACACGUUCAAAGAUGAUAAGAAACUAGAGAAAGGUACAUCAAUUCCAGAAGAACUUCCUAAAGCUAUUGAUGAGUCGCAAUUCGCUAUCGUCAUCUUUUCGAUGAAUUACGGUUCGUCUAGCUGGUGUUUGGAUGAACUUGUGAGGAUUAUUGAAGGUAAAAUCCAACGCGAUCGACUGUUGUACCGAUCUUUUACCGUGUAAGUCCAUCGGAAGUGGGCGAACAAAGGAAGAUGUUUGCUGAAGCUUUUAAGAAACAUGAAGUAAAUGUUGAUAGAGAAAAGGUGCAGAUAUGGAGGGAUGCUCUAAAUGAAGCAGCCAAACUACCAGGCUGGGAAAUAAGACAGUACAGGGAUAGCGAAGCUCAAAUCAUAGAAGAAGUUGUGAAAUAUAUUGUAAACAAGAAGAAGUUGGAGCAGCAGCAGACUCCAAUUAAUUUAUUGGAAGCAAACUCACCAAAUGGUUCCUCCAGGACCACCCCACUUGACUUUCUUCCUUUUUAUCUUCUCUCUCUU